UCAACCACUUCUGCGCGCUCAAUCCAACGCACAACGCACUCCUGCCUCGUGGAAACAGUAAGUUGAAGACUGGUGGCAUUGCUAAGAUCUAAGAAUUCCAAGGCAUUGCAUUCAAACUCCUAUGAGUGGUUGUGGACUUGGAGGGAACAACUUGCUGGCCUUUGUGACACCCAGGA